UGGGUAACCUGCCCAAUAGACUGGGAUAACACCUGGAAACAGAUGCUAAUACCGGAUAACAACACUAGACGCAUGUCUAGAGUUUAAAAGAUGGUUCUGCUAUCACUCUUGGAUGGACCUGCGGUGCAUUAGCUAGUUGGUAAGGUAACGGCUUACCAAGGCAAUGAUGCAUAGCCGAGUUUAGAGACUGAUCGGCCACAUUGGGACUGAGACACGGCCCAAACUCCUACGGGAGGCAGCAGCC
rnacentral:rRNA from 1 species